rnacentral:rRNA from 1 species
AACGAUGUCGAUUUGGAGGUUGUGCCCUUGAGGCGUGGCUUCCGGAGCUAACGCGUUAAAUCGACCGCCUGGGGAGUACGGCCGCAAGGUUAAAACUCAAAUGAAUUGACGGGGGCCCGCACAAGCGGUGGAGCAUGUGGUUUAAUUCGAUGCAACGCGAAGAACCUUACCUGGUCUUGACAUCCACAGAACUUUCCAGAGAUGGAUUGGUGCCUUCGGGAACUGUGAGACAGGUGCUGCAUGGCUGUCGUCAGCUCGUGUUGUGAAAUGUUGGGUUAAGUCCCGCAACGAGCGCAACCCUUAUCCUUUGUUGCCAGCGGUCCGGCCGGGAACUCAAAGGAGACUGCCAGUGAUAAACUGGAGGAAGGUGGGGAUGACGUCAAGUCAUCAUGGCCCUUACGACCAGGGCUACACACGUGCUACAAUGGCAUAUACAAAGAGAAGCGACCUCGCGAGAGCAAGCGGACCUCAUAAAGUAUGUCGUAGUCCGGAUUGGAGUCUGCAACUCGACUCCAUGAAGUCGGAAUCGCUAGUAAUCGUAGAUCAGAAUGCUACGGUGAAUACGUUCCCGGGCCUUGUACACACCGCCCGUCACACCAUGGGAGUGGGUUGCAAAAGAAGUGGGUAGCUUAACCUUCGGGAGGGCGCUUACCACUUUGUGAUUCAUGACUGGGGUGAAGUCGUAACAAGGUAACCGUAGGGGAACCUGCGGUUG